UUUUUCAUUUCUCACUAUCUUUCCAUCUUUCCUUUUUGUUACUGUGCCAUUGCUUAUCCUAACUCCUAACCUCUCCUUCAUUCUCCUCUGCAAAUUCUACCUGCACCCCUCUUAAAAAACCCUGCUGAAGAAGACUGUUAGGUCGAAACGCGUACAGGGUUGCCUUUCCUUUUCUCUCCUUUAUCUCUCGUCUUAUCGUUUCUAAUUAACCAAUUCACCCCUCCUCAGUUCCUAUAAUCGUUAUUGCCAUAAUUCAUCACGUAUAUGCAGUUCAUUCUAUUGAAGUUGAAGUAAAUAACAAUUAAUUUGAAUACUGGUCCUAUAAUUAUUUAGGUUACACAAUGUCUCACACCAGUACUUGUCCCAUUACCUAUUUACACCAAAAGAAUGGC